GACGCGCGGCCCCAGGUCGGCGAUGGGGGCGUUCUUACCUCUGCCGCAGGCUGUGUGAUAGAAUAUGACUUUUAUGGCUCAUGCAAGUGGUUGAGUGGAGUGUGCUGGGAGACCUACUGAAUCUAUUUGGCACAUAUUCCAGUCAUCAUGAGAUAAAUAGCUUUCAUCUACCAUGAUGUUCUGCCUCAACAGCCUGAGAGCAAUAGCGCCAGAAUUAAAACUUUUGAAAUGAUGAGAAAAAAAAUGAGUCUUUCCUCUGUCAAGUUGGUUUGUUCAGGUAUUUUUGUUACAGAUUGAAAAUUGAGCAACACAUUGUGUGUUUAUUCAUUUCUAUACUUGUUUCCAGUUUCCAUUAAGAUGGGGAUGGUAUAUUGCACUUUUACAAUCUUUAAAUAAAGACUGUUAAAGGCUUUGUAUAUGUGUUCAUUCAUUUGAAGGUUUGGAGAAUUUUUUAAUUAAGACAGCUUUUUAGUAUUAUCUAUCAGCUUCUUAAAUUUUAGUAUGCAUAAGAAUCACACAGAGGAAGCUGGGCACUGGUAGUUCAGGCCUGUAAUCCAAGCCACUCAGGAGACUGA